rnacentral:tRNA from 1 species
GCCGCGGUGGUGGAAUUGGUAUACACGUACGUUUGAGGGGCGUAUGGGGAAACCCGUGAGGGUUCGAGUCCCUCCCGCGGCA